UGCUCUAGCUUGUUUCUAUCUAAUAAACCUGGAACUGCAGACUAAAUAUUGUUGGCUCUGUGUCAAAUUGCUUGUUUUGUUCCUAGAUUCUUCAGUGCUUCUUCAUGGCCUGCUGCAUCCAGCAGAGUCGGAGUGAACCUACUGUAAGACAACAUCUCAAAGAUGCUAUUGACCACAAGACUAGUACAGGUUAUUAGAAACUGCACAGCACAGGACUUGCAGGACUUGUGAGGACUUCAGAUGAUACCAGUACUCAAAAGACCUUAGAUGAUGGCAACUAUAGAUGGACAUACAAACUACCGCCACUGCAAAAAAGAUUCUAAUUUGAAAGAAGUUUAUAAUGCAUGUUCGCUACUCCCAAUUCAGAAGACUGAAUCAGCCGGUGUAUCUGAAUGUUUCUCAUACUCACUACUCUCUGCCGCAUCUGAAUUUAGC